GGAGCCGUCUGUGAAGCGGGGAGGAGCGGGGCGUAUCGCGAGUGGAACAGUGCAUCCUCAGCAAGUUUACAGAUGGUACACAAUUGGGAGGAGUGAUUGACAACCAGAUGUCCUGCUGCCAUCAGAGGGGGACUGCCGCAGGCUGGAGAAAUGAGCAGCCCAGGUGAGACCAUGUUCAGUUCUUGGCUCCCCAUGACAAGAAAGACAUGGACAUAUUGGAGAGAGUCCAAGACCAUGAAGAUUAAGAGAUUGGAGCAUCUGACUAUACCAGAAGAGGCCGUGAGCUGGGAUUGUGUAGUCUCAAGAAGAGAAGUCUUAGGGGAGAUCUUGUCAGUGUGCAUAAAUACCUGAUGGGACGGUAUAAAGAGGGUGGAGCCAUACGUUUCUCAGCAGUGCCCAAGGCAAGAGGCAAUGAAUGGGUGCAAAUUGAAACAGGAAAUAUUUAAGUGUAAGGAAAAGCUCUUCAGCUGUGAGGGUGGCCAAACACUGCCAUAGUUUGCUCAGAGAAGUUGUGGAAUCCCUGUCCUUAGAUAUUUUCAAAACCCAGCUGGACACAGGCCUGAACAACCUGCUGCAGAUGACCCUGCUUUGAGGUUGGACUAGGUGUUCUAAAGAGCCUUCCAACCUUUGGGGAGAGACUUUUUAGUAGGGCCUAUAGCGAUAGGACAAGGAUUAAUGGUUCUAAACUAAAAGAGGGUAGAUUCAGGCAAGAUGUAAGGAAGGCAUUUUUUACAGUGGGGGUAGUGAAACACUGGAACAGGUUGCCCAGAGAUGGGCUGGAUGCCCCAUCCCUAGUAACAUUCGAGGUUAUGUUGGAGGGGUCUCUGAGCAACCUGAUGUAGUUGAAGAUGUACCUGCUCACUGCAAGGGGCUUGGACUAGAUGACCUUUAAAGGUCCCUUCCAACCCAAACCAUUCCAUGAUUCUCACCUCAAGCAUUCUGUGAUUCUUUGAGGAAGUCUGUAGGACAAACUGAGUUCUGGUUAACUGCUUAUGCUGUCUAUUACUUAAAAUUUUGAGCUUUAAAUACCAGGCAGAUUGCUUAGACAGAGUCCCAUUUGUCCUGUAGCCCAGUGCCAAAAGACAUGGCACCAAUGCUUACCUGGCUAUAUGUGUAUUUCCAAUCUCAUCUUCUGGUAAUCCUUAAUGACUCAUAAGAUCUUCAAGUCGUUCUUCUCUUUUGUAUCAUCAAUCAUAAAAUAAAAGCUUGAAAAUGCUUAAGUAAGGAUGUCUGGAAAUGCUGCACAGCACUUAAAACACGUGCACAACACCAAAAAAAUAGAUAAAGCCUUGAGAGUUUAACUCAGUAAAUCAGAUAUCCCUUAUAUUGUUAACUCGUUCUCAGAAAGAGUCUAGCCAGUCCUAAAUCUUACUAACUCUUAGAAGCCAGGCUAGUAUAAUUCUUAGAACCUUCUGCAAAACUGUCCUUUAAAGUUUGUCUGCCAGAUGAUGUGUUACUCAGCUUGAAUAAACCUGAGAGACUGAUUCUACAAGUGUUACGAAGUAUUGAUUCAUUUCCUUCAAGUGUCUGGUUAAAGAGUGACUUGAGGAAAAUGUAAAGUUUUGUCCUUAAAUAAAUAUUGUGUAUAAAUGGAUCAUGUCAGCAACACUCGGAUUUCAUGAUUGCCUGGAGUGGGAACUGGAUAAUGAGGCUUGUCAGCUCCGUUGGAUUUGCAGCAGAUAUUUGUGUAGGGCAGUUUUGAAUGUUUCAGAAAAAUACAUGAACGUUUGAAGGGCUUGUGGACCAGUCUCACUUAUGCUCUGGGUCUGGUUAAACCAAAUCAGCAAAAUUGUUCUUCAGAGGAUCUUUUAUUAUGUGUUACACAUUUCACUUUACAAAUUAAAAUUAUUUCAGAAAUGGAACAGAGCUUUCCAUUAGGAGUAGUAGUCAUAGAAAUGGUUUAUGGAGAUUACAGUUGAGUUUGCUUCCCGUAAUCCCUUUUUUCCUUGAGGAGAAAAUAAAAAAGUAUCUGCUUCCUCAGGUCUUAUUUCACAUUUUUGAGUUUUGAUUGACAGCAAAGCAGGAAGGGAAAGACUUAAAAGUGCCACACACACAGAAAGAGAACAAAAAAGAAAAGGCUAAAACUGGAAAGAUACAGUUUUUUAUUUUCUUUUUUGGCAGGCAUAAUAUGGCAAGCUGUCCUCAAGAAACAGUAAAGUCAUGAUUUAAAGCCUCCUAAGCAGAUAACAUACAAGUGUGAUCUGGUGUGGGAGACUGGGACAUGCAGCUUUCAUAACUAAAAUACAAAACCUGGAACACACAACCAUUGUAAACAGCCAUCUGACUUAAUCAUCAGGUCCAACCUAGCCAAAGCAUCUCUAAUCAGAUGAAACUGCAGGGUCAUCUUGGAAAUGUGAUGCCAGCUGUGAACUGCUAGGUUCCUAUGAUGAUCCGAAACCAAAGAAAAACUGUAUGUAAUUAUCCUUUUAAAAAUAAAUCUGUUUUUCCUUUCUGA